UCCUGCCUAGCAACAAAGUCAGGAGGGAAGGAAUUGUGGCAUCUAGAAUGCAUAUGGGCUAGAGCACUGGAGAAGAUCCUCAGUGGCCAUCUACACAAGGAGCCGUCCAGCAUGCAGGGGGCAUUCAUUGUCCUUGUGCUUCUAGGGAUCACCUCAGGAGAAGCUCUACACCUGAUCCACCUGCCUGCCACUAGCCAUGUGGCCGAGAAUGCUCCACCUGCCACUUUGGUGCACACAUUUUCUGUGAAUUUAUCAGUAUCACUGUCACCUGUGAUCCCAGGAUUUCCCAUGGUAAUCAACCCAAGGCCCUUCACUGAGGCCUUCAGGGUGAACAGACUGUCAGCAACGACCUUUGAGGUUGUCACCACUGGGAAAGAACAACUAGAUUUUGAAACAGGACCAAAAGCAUUUGAUUUGCAGAUUUAUGUUAAGGAUGAUGUUGGUGUCACAGACGUGCAAGUCCUGACUGUUCAGGUGACAGAUGUGAAUGAGCCACCUCAGUUCCAAGGCAGUUUGGCACAAGGUUUAAACCUCUAUAUCACAGAAAGAACAAACCCUGGUUUCAUUUACCAGGUGGAGGCAUUUGACCCAGAAGACACAAGCCGGAACAUACCCCUCAGGUACUUCCUCAUUUCUCCCUCGAAGAACUUCAGAAUGUCUGCUAAUGGCACCCUCUUCUCCACCACAGAACUGGACUUUGAAGCAGGGCACAAAAGCUUCCACCUCCUUGUGGGAGUAAGAGACAGUAGGGACCUUGAAGCUUCCACAGCACUUCAGGUGACUAUUGUGAACAUCAAUGAUGAGAUCCCACUCUUUACCAGCCCAAGGAGAGUGUACUCCAUCCCAGAGGAAGCGCCUCUGGGAACCAUGGUGGCGAACAUCACAGCAGUGGAUCCUGAUGACGAGGGCUUUCCUGGCCACCUCCUCUACAGCAUCGCUACCACCAGCAGCUACUUCAUGGUAGACCAGUUGACAGGGACAAUCCAAGUGGCCCAGAGGCUAGAUCGAGAUGCAGGUGAACUGAGACAGAAUCCCAUCAUUUCUCUGGAAGUUCUGGUGAAGGACAGACCCUCUGGGGGUCAGGAGAACCGCAUGCAGAUAACCUUCAUCGUGGAAGAUAUCAAUGACAAUCCUGCAACAUGCAGAAAGCGCACCUUCAGCAUUAUGUUGCCCGAGAGAGCAGCCAACGGGACAUUGCUUUUGGACUUGAACAAGUUCUGCUUUGAUGAUGACAGCGAAGCUCCGAACAACAAAUUCAACUUUACCACGCCAUCUGGAGCGGGGAGCAGCCGCCGAUUCUCACAGCGUCCAGCUGGCUCUGGGAGAAUUGUGUUGAUUGGUGAUCUAGAUUAUGAAAAUCCGAGCAACCUCGCAGCUGGCAAUAAAUACAGUGUGAUGAUCCAGGUGCAAGAUGUGGCUCCUCCAUACUAUAAAAAAAGCAUCUACAUUUCUAUCCUAACACGCCCAGAAAAUGAAUUUCCUCUCAUCUUCGAGAGGUCCUCCUACAUGUUUGACGUGCCAGAGACAAGACCAGCUAGAACCCAGGUUGGGCAGGUGCGAGCGACUGAUAGAGACUUCCCUCAGAGACCAGUGGUGUAUUCUAUAUCCAGAGGAGGGGCCAGCCUCCAGUACCCAAACAUAUUUUGGAUUAAUCCCAAGACAGGAGAACUCCAACUAAUUACUAAGGCAGACCAUGAAACCACUCCUGUCUACAUCCUCACGGUCGAGGCCACCAACGGCGAGGACAGGAGCUCAGUCACUGUUACUGUGAACAUUGUUGGAGAAAAUGACGAAAAGCCAAUAUGUACUCCAAAUUUUUACUUCAUGUCCAUCCCAGUGGACCUAAAAGUUGGUACCAACAUUCAGAAUUUCAAGUUGACGUGCACUGACCUUGAUUCUAGCCCCAGAUCUUUUCGAUACUCCAUUGGCUCAGCCCAGGAUUACCUACCAGAUCCGCAGGGAAAACAUAUUCUCUCCAUCUGCAUGGUAUGUGCCAUUCAUCAUCACUCUGGGCUCCAUAGUUCUUGUCGGUCUUCUGGGGUCCCUGAUGGUCCUGCUGGCCAAAGCAGUCUACAGACAUUGCUCCUCCAUGACCAGGAAGGACAAGAAACCUCUGUGAGUUCUGGGGGGGGGGGCUGAGACUUCCCUUGUUUUUGCUUGUUUGUUGCCUUUGUUUUGUACAGGGCAGGGUACGCAGCUUGAAGGGGAGAAUAGAAGAUGAAGGGAUAGAAUUCUAGCUGCCCUUGGGCCUUGUCACCUGUGAGGCCAGGACCAUGGCCUUUGGCUUUCUCUGGCAGCUUACUCCAGCCCUGAUGGGAUUUAGUAAGUAGGCUUCCAGUGACCUUGCCCUGGACAAGCGCUCCUGAAAAGCCCCGUUGUGAGUAGCAGUAGAAUAUAAUGUGCUCUUCUCUGCAGAGUAUUUCUAGAAAGGGAUGGGACUAAAGGAAGCAAACUCUACCAACAACAAUGCAACAGAUUAGAAAAUUAAACUUUGAGUGCCGCUUAGGCCUUUAUGUCAUUAGACAAUCUCCGUUCUCUUGCGUGUGACUCUCAUCUCUCGCCAUCUGGGAAACACACAGUAGUUGCAUGCCAGGUUUCCCUCCUCCCUACUCUCACUUGCUCAGACAUGUGAUUCCUAAGAGAACCUGUGCGUGUCACACACUUCUCCCGGGGCCAGAUAUAUCCUCAGUAACUCUUACAGCCAGAGCACAAUGGCUGUGAGCCAGGAUUUUUAGAGUUGGUCAAGUUCCAGGUUCAAAUCUAAGCUCUCUCAUUUCCUGGGCACCUGACGUUGGGCACAUGAAACUCUCUCUGGAAAACUACCUGAGCAAAUGCAGAGAGAGCCCUGGGUAGAGUUCCUGACACCAAGCUAACACUUGCAUGAGCAAUGGUUUUGAAGUGGCUGCAGUUUUAACUUCAUAGCCAAGACCCAGUGAGCUCAUGAUUCUAGACCCCAAAUUUAACCAAAUGCCCAAAUGUCCUGGGAGCUGGGUGCCCUGGCGUUCAGGGUCUCUCAGUGGCAAAGAAGAAGUGAGUGAUAAGACUCAGAUGCCUCUUAAGAGUAUUUGAAGAUUAACCAUGACUACCAAGGGAUUUUACGUAUCUGGAUGUCAGAUGGUUUAAAGGACAUUAGCUUAAAGCUGUGUGUUGCUUUCCACCGUAUUUAUCAGGGGAAGUUUGCACUGUUGGAAACCUUGACUUCGGGUAAGAAAUCCUUGAGCAUCUACUGAAAUUUUAAAAAGACAUUUUUUGUCUGCAGUCUGUUUACAAAUGACUAAGAGAAAGACAGAAAAAGAGUACCUUGUUUCUAAAAGGGUCGCAUCUGUGCAUGUGAGGAUGAUGAUGUCUCAUGUGAGUAGGCCUUUUAAAAAGAUGUAUAGUGACCCAAAAGGCAUUGCAACUUACAUGCAAAUUACAGCUAUGUGGUAAAUAUGCAUCUUGAACCUGGCUGUUCCUAUUUGCAUUCUAAGUACAGUUUUCAUCAUGGCCCAAUUCAAAAGAGAAAAAUAGCUAAAAAUUCAGACUCACACUUGUGCUCUCAGAAAGUUAGCUGUACCAUGUGGCAGUCAACACUUGUCAAAGAGUGAGGAAUAAAAUUAGAAAUUUUGAACCCAAGACUUGUAUGAGAAGGGCAUUAACACCCAGUCUAGCUCCUUCAUGUUAUAGGAAACUGAAGCUGUCAGCCCUCUAGCCUCCCUGCUGUGAGACAACAUCUCUGCUCUGAUGGCUACUGGGGAGAAAAUGGGCAAAGAAGAAUGGGUCGGUUGUGUCAAUGGAAUGGUUUUGCCUUCACCAAAGUCACUGUAUUCCUGGAGUUGUAAGAAGCAAUAGUUUCAGCUUCUAGACCCUCUGUAGUUCCAGGCUAUCAACUGCCAAACUGCUUGGUUUAACACAGCUAAUAGCCAGAACUUUUUGAUCCCCAUCCCUAGCCCAUUUUCAGACUAGUCCCCAAAUUCCAAGAAAGCGGUUGCCUGGAGGCCCUGCAUUAACAUGUGUGCAUAUCUACGUGGAAUACUGUCUGGUCAACUAAUGCCUAUCCUUCCCCCGCAGGAUAAAGAAAGGAGGUAUGUAUGUACAGUGCAUGCUCUUAUGGUCCGCUUGCGAUCUUUUGCUUGCUCUUUUAUACUGCGCUAAAAGGCUCAAACUUGGGCUCAAUCGGGGAAUAUCCAUGUCUUUAAUGGGGAAGCAAAAAGCAUCUAUUGCUGGAUCAAAGAAGGGCAGGGUGCAAAGAUACACAGUGCAGGAUGCAGGGUGCAGGGUGCAGGGUGCAAGGUGCAGGGUGCAGAGUGCAGGGUGCAGGGUGCAGGGUGCAGAGUGCAGGGUGCCUUUGGCUUACUUGGUCCACUCACUUGGGCCUUGCCUACUUUCUACCCAUGUUCAUCUCUAGCAGACUCAGUUUAAUCAUCUAGGCCUCUCCCAGGGAACCUAGCUCAUCCUUAGUAGGGAUAUGCACUACACACGGCCAGCAUUUCCUGACUGCUGCCCGUGGAGGGGGUGGCUGCUCCCAAUGACAGUGAGUGCUCAGUCUUGAACAAGUGCCUCUUCUGUAGGAACACUGACACGCUCUUCUCAGAUUGCAAUGGAUUUGAUCAUUGCUCACAUGGUUCAUUAGGUCAGACUAAUUAAUUGGUCAAUUGAGCAAGAUCUACUGAGAGUCCCAGGCCCAAGGAGAUAUCUCAUCGGAACCUGGGCAAAGAGUUGUCACCUCAAGGCUGCUCCAAGCUAUGGGGAGAGACAGGACAUAGAAUGUACAGUACUAUAAUUUUAAAAAAAUGUUUGCUUAAGUCAUUGUAUCCAUGGGGCAUGCAGAUACGCACAAAGUGCAUAAAUGCAGGGUUCAGACUUUGAUUAUAAUGGUUAUUGAUCACAUAGAGAAAGUGUGUCUUAAUAACAGAAAUGUCAUAGACUAGCUUGAUUCUUAGUUUUUUAACUAGAUUUACUCAUUUCAUUUUUGUGUAUAUGUGCAUAUAAGCAUGCUUGAUGCCCUCAGAGGUCAGAAGACAACAUUAGAGCCCUUGGAGUGGAGUAAUGGAUGGUUGUGAGCCACCAUGUGGGUGCUGGGAGUCAAACCUGGGUCCUUUGCAUGAGCAGUAAGUGCUCUUUACCACUGAGCCAUCUCUCCAUCCCCAAACUCAGUUACUUUUAAUCUGGAUAUCGGGAAUGGAUGUCAAAAAUCACUUGUUAUGAACAGGUAGUCUUUUUUUCCAUUUGAGAGCUAACUUUCUAAGACCAGUAUAAAUAAUCCAGAAAGAGUUUUGGUAUUUUAAUCAUGUGCUGCCCAUACACAUGUAUGUUUUCUAAGAAACCUGAAGGCUGUCAAGUAACAGGUGUGCAGCCAAACAAACAAAACACCAGCAAUAGAACAAAAACAAGAGCUUUGCUCUGCCUGUGAGACUGAAGUCCGUCUGCUCAGGGAAAUUCCACCGUGAGCAGAAUGUUAAGGUCAGUUUAGCAUCUAGGAAGCUUCAACGCUGCCUUGUUCUUUCCCCUGCAGACACAAAGAGUACGAAGAGUACGAAGAGAGAGGCCAUGGUGGAAUCUAUCCAGAUGAACUCUGUCUUUGAUGGAGAAGCCGUAGACCCAGUUACCGGGGAAAUAUAUGAAUUCAACUCAAAAACUGGUGCCAGAAAGUGGAAAGGCCCGUUAACCCAGCUGCCCAGUUGGCCUGAGCCCAGCACCCAGCCCAGAGGCACAGCUGGAGAAGCCUCAGUCCCUAAACACACAGGGAAAUAACAGGCUCACAGCUACCCGGGUUCAUGAUGAGAGAGUGCCUACAUUUGAAUGCCAAGUCGCCCCCUUACGGUCUUCUGUUCUUCUCCUCCGUUCUUCACAGUGGCAUCCAGGCAGCCCUUUCAGCCCAGCUUCCCAGCUCGUAUCCUCUAAUAUGUCUGUCCUUGUGUUCACUUAUAAACACAGCUCAAGGGCUGGAGAGAUGGCUCAGUGGAAAGAGAGAGCACUGAUUGCUCUUCCAGAGGUCCUGAGUUCAAUUCCCAGCAACCACAUGGUGGUUCACGACCGUCUGUAAUGGAAUUUGAUGGCCUCUUGUGGUGUGUCUGAGACAGUGACAGUGUAAAUAAAUAAAUAAAUAAAUAAAUAAAUAAAUAAAUAAAUACAGCUCAACACCAUA